rnacentral:rRNA from 1 species
CCUACGGGAGGCAGCAGUGGGGAAUAUUGCGCAAUGGGCGAAAGCCUGACGCAGCGACGCCGCGUGAGGGAUGAAGGUCUUCGGAUCGUAAACCUCUGUCAGCAGGGAAGAACGGUCACUGUGCUAAUCAGCAGUGAAUUGACGGUACCUGCAAAGGAAGCACCGGCUAACUCCGUGCCAGCAGCCGCGGUAAUACGGAGGGUGCGAGCGUUAAUCGGAAUUACUGGGCGUAAAGCGCUCGUAGGCGGUAUGUCAAGUCAAGGGUGAAAUCCCCGCGCUGAACGUGGGAACUGCCUUUGAAACUGGCAAACUGGAGUGUGGGAGAGGGUAGUGGAAUUCCAGGUGUAGGAGUGAAAUGCGUAGAUAUCUGGAGGAACAUCAGUGGCGAAGGCGACUAUCUGGCACAUAACUGACGCUGAGGAGCGAAAGCGUGGGUAGCAAACAGGAUUAGAUACCCCGGUAGUC